UACGUAGGGCGCAAGCGUUAUCCGGAAUUAUUGGGCGUAAAGAGCUCGUAGGCGGUUUGUCGCGUCUGCCGUGAAAGUCCGGGGCUCAACUCCGGGUCUGCAUUCGAUACGGGCAGGCUAGAGUGUGGUAGGGGAGAUCGGAAUUCCUGGUGUAGCGGUGAAAUGCGCAGAUAUCAGGAGGAACACCGAUGGCGAAGGCAGGUCUCUGGGCA
rnacentral:rRNA from 1 species